rnacentral:tRNA from 1 species
GCGCCGGUGGUGUAAGGCGAAUCCCGGAAAGCAGAAGAUGCGGGUUCGAGUCCCGCCUGGCGCA